UAGUUGACCUAGGUCUGUGGAGGAGCCUGAGUCGUUAGCUUUGGGGAGUUCCAGCACCACCUGCAGGAGAGAGUAAUGAUGGAAGGUUAAGGUUAAAUCUUUGGUGGUCUUUGGUUCACCCUCUACCAACCAUCUCCUCAGUGAGGGAUGAAUGAAGUUCAAUCUUAAAUCAGGCUCUAGAUCCGACCUACCCAGAAAUUCAGAAGUCCUGUUUGGUCCAAGGAGGUCAGCUGGAAGGACCCCCCCGACUCUGAGUCUGGAGGAAGAAACACCACAGAUGACAGCAGGGUGACCUCUGACCCCAGGGCCCCCACUGCAGUGGUGGGGGCCACUUCUAACGAUACCACAGUUGACAAAUGUCCUGAACCAGCCAUCACUGCGUCUGUGGGAGGAGGGGAGAGGAGGUGUCAGUGCUGCAGUGACAUCACAGUCCUGAGGUGAUGAAGAACCACCGCAGGAAGUGACGACGGCAGGAAGUGAGAGGAAGGUAACUUCAGGUCACCAGAGUCAAGAGAACAACAACAAAGAUGUGGGAGAGACAGGAAGUUCACUUCAGGACCAGUGUACAAGCGUGUACCAGUGGAGAAGGUCGGCUGUCUGAAGGUCCAGUCCUGGUCCUCCAUCCUCAGACGGUGGUGGUUGGCAGCAGGUUCUCUCAGGUCCCACAGGAGCAGAGAACCCACUGAGGUCCCUG